GACAUUGGUACAUAUUUAACAGCAAACGUCUUCAAAAUAUGUUGAAAAGCUGUGAUUGGGACAUUUGCAACCAUAUACUCUACUUUGAUACCAGUGCUU